AGCAAUAAUGUGUUCAGCCAGCUAAAAUUUAGUUGAUGAAAAGGAGGGGAAAAUUGUUCUUUCUUGUGGAAGCAUUCAAAUUCUAGUAAUCUAUACAAACCCUCCAUCCGUUCUCUACCCUGGUUGAUACCUUUUCACCAUCUUGGUUCUUUACCACUGUUAUCCUCGUCUUCUUUGGGAUCACUUGUACUUGACUCACCCAUUUGCUAUCCGAAAUAUGGUGAUGACUCUAGUGUCUAGCAGCUUCAGGACCUUCUUCUAUAUAACUUCCAUCAUU
rnacentral:lncRNA from 1 species